UACGAAGGGGGCUAGCGUUGUUCGGAUUUACUGGGCGUAAAGCGCACGUAGGCGGUUUGUUAAGUCAGAGGUGAAAUCCCGGAGCUCAACUCCGGAACUGCCUUUGAUACUGGCAAGCUAGAGUCCGGAAGAGGUAAGUGGAACUCCUAGUGUAGAGGUGGAAUUCGUAGAUAUUAGGAAGAACACCAGUGGCGAAGGCGGCUUACUGGUCCGGAACUGACGCUGAGGUGACGAAAGCGUGGGGAGCAAACAGG
rnacentral:rRNA from 1 species